rnacentral:rRNA from 1 species
ACGUAGGAGGCGAGCGUUAUCCGGAUUUACUGGGCGUAAAGCGCACGUAGGCGGUUACUUAAGUCGGAUGUGAAAGCCCCGGGCUCAACCUGGGAAUUGCAUCCGAUACUGGGUGACUAGAGUACGGUAGAGGGGGGUGGAAUUCCAGGUGUAGCGGUGAAAUGCGUAGAGAUCUGGAGGAACACCGGUGGCGAAGGCGGCCCCCUGGACUGAUACUGACGCUGAGGUGCGAAUGCGUGGGGAUCAAACAG